UACAGAGGAUGCAAGCGUUAUCCGGAAUGAUUGGGCGUAAAGCGUCUGUAGGUGGCUUUUAAGUCCGCCGUCAAAUCCCAGGGCCUCAACUCUGGACAGGCGGUGGAAACUACCAAGCUGGAGUACGGUAGGGGCAGAGGGAAUUUCCGGUGGAGCGGUGAAAUGCGUAGAGAUCCGGAGGAACACCGACGGCGUAGGCAGCGCCCUGGCCGUUUCCUGACGCUGAUGCACGAAAGCUGGGGGAGCAAACAGG
rnacentral:rRNA from 1 species